UACGUAGGGCGCAAGCGUUAUCCGGAAUUAUUGGGCGUAAAGAGCUCGUAGGCGGUGUGUCGCGUCGGCCGUGAAAACCUGCAGCUUAACUGUGGGCUUGCGGUCGAUACGGGCAUCACUGGAGUUCGGCAGGGGAGACUGGAAUUCCUGGUGUAGCGGUGAAAUGCGCAGAUAUCAGAAGGAACACCGGUGGCGAAGGCGGGUCUCUGGGCCGAUACUGACGCUGAGGAGCGAAAGCGUGGGGAGCGAACAGG
rnacentral:rRNA from 1 species